AGUUCUCAACUGCAUCCAUUUGAAUGAAGGGAUGUGGAUUUGGAUCAUGGGGUUUGCAGGCUUUUUUGUUUUAGGUCUGCUUCUCUGAAAUGUAUUAGUGGCAAAUGUGGAAAAAAGCUACUGUGGGUUUGAUAAAAUGUCUAUGCCCAUGAAGUGCUUCUGCUGUGCUGCUUGCUUGCCAGGGGAUUUUUGACAA
rnacentral:misc_RNA from 1 species